CACCCCUUACACCUCAAAUCGACCCUUAGGAAUCGAGCUCUUCCCCUUUUCCUCCCUUGAUUGGAAAGGAUUGAGCGUGCCCUAGAUCCUAUCCUUCUCCUCCAAAUUGGGGUAUCAAUCCUCCAAAAAUCCCUAUCCUUCCCCUAAAAUCCCUCUAUCUCUUCACACAUUUGACCUCCUAAGACCCUUGCUUGCUCUGGUGGUGGAAAUGGCUCCAAAAAUGAAGCUCCCACAA
rnacentral:lncRNA from 1 species